UGAGAUCUGUUAUUAAACUGGUUUCCACUGGGGAACACUGAGAUCUGUUAUUAAACAGGUUUCCACUGGGGGAACACUGAGAUCUGUUACCUUUAAACUGGUUUCCACUGGGGGAACACUGAGAUCUGUUACCUUUAAACAGGUUUCCACUGGGGGAACACUGAGAUCUGUUACCUUUAAACUGGUUUCCACUGGGGAACACUGAGAUCUGUUACCUUUAAACUGGUUUCCACUGGGGAACACUGAGAUCUGUUACCUUUAAACUGGUUUCCACUGGGGAACACUGAGAUCUGUUACCUUUAAACAGGUUUCCACUGGG